GGCGGCUCGCGCGUCGUGGGGCUUUCUCUCCAGUAGGUGGCGCGGCCGCGCUGCUCUUGAAGACGGUCUGCGGAGAUUUGUCAGAGGGCGUUCUCACGUUCAGCUGAGCUGUGGGACCUGAGUUCGGUUCUACGGAAGAAUCUCUUCUGACAGUCCUCUGGCCGCCACCGGCGGCGGACGGAAGCAAAGGCCACGGAACGGCGAGGAGCCAAUCAGAUCGCACCAGAGCUGGAGAAAAUGAGGCAGCUGCGGAAAAGAAAGAGGUGUCAAGCCCUAAAGUCACUUGAGCAACUGGCAGAGAUGGCAAAGCAUGGUUGGAACCUGGAUCUGUCUGUGCUCCUGGUCCAGGGACAUACGCUACCACACUACACAACAGCUACAGUGUUUGUUAAGUAAACUUUUUAUUAGAGUGUAAAUAGGGAGCAGGCGUAAGUCUGCGCAAACUGGACUCCCUGUACGUUCUCGAUGGUAUGGAGAAUGAUCUACGAUAGCUGUGAUACUGGCCAGCAGGUCCUACAUGAGAAACCAGGCUCAGGAGGUGAAGUUACUUGCCACGCACUCAGUAAGAAAUCACAGAGAUGGCAUUAAAGUCAGAGUCCAGAGUCGUAACAUCGUCGAUAGUUAUUAUUGAUGUGUCCAACAUCUUACACAGGACUGCUCUAACGGUACCGGAAUGGAGACCUUCCCCGUGCUGGGAGAGAGAUGGAAGAAGGCUUGAACCUCUCAGAAGAGAGUGAGGAUAAUAGUAAAACGAAGAAAGGUUAACUUGGGGGAAACCAACUGUGAGUUGGUCUCUAACGACUGUUACUGGGUUAAGUAAACUUAAACACUUUUUUUCA